rnacentral:rRNA from 1 species
UGAGUACGAGAUGCUACGGCAUCGAAGCAGUCUAUGUCAUACUUCCAAGAAAAGCUUGCACUGUCAUAAACAAAGAAUGCCUGUACCAUAACCGACACAGGUGGGUAGGUAGAGUAUACUAAGGGGCGCGAGAUAACUCUCUCUAAGGAACUCGGCAAAAUGACUCCGUAACUUCGGGAGAAGGAGUGCCUUAUUUAUAAGGUUGCAAUAACAAGAUCCAAGCAACUGUUUACCAAAAACACAGGUCUCCGCGAAGUCGUAAGACGAUGUAUGGGGGCUGACGCCUGCCCAGUGCCAGAAGGUUAAAGAAGUUGGUUAGCACUCGCGAAGCUGAUAACUGAAGCCCUGGUGAACGGCGGCCGUAACAAUAACGGUCCUAAGGUAGCGAAAUUCCUUGUCGGGUAAGUUCCGACCCGCACGAAAGGCGUAAUGAUUUGGAUACUGUCUCGGAGAGGGACUCGGUGAAAUAGACUUGUCUGUGAAGAUGCGGACUACCUGCACCUGGACAGAAAGACCCUAUGAAGCUUUACUGUAACUUGAAAUUGAAAUUGGACUUUAUUUGCGCAGUAUAGGUGGGAGGCAUUGAGAAUAACCUUGCGGGGUUGUUGGAGCCAUCAGUGAGAUACCACUCUUGUAAUGUUAGAUUUCUAACUUUGUAUCAUUAUCUGGUCAAAGAACAGUUUCAGGCGGGCAGUUUGACUGGGGCGGUCGCCUCCCAAACGGUAACGGAGGCGCACAAAGGUUUCCUCUGAACGGGUAGAAAUCGUAUCUAGAGUGUAAAGGCAUAAGGAAGCUUGACUGUGAGACCUACAAGUCGAGCAGGGACGAAAGUCGGUCUUAGUGAUCUGACGGUGCUGAGUGGAAAGGCCGUCACUCAACGGAUAAAAGUUACUCUAGGAUAACAGGCUGAUCUCCCCCAAGAGUUCACAUCGACGGGGAGGUUUGGCACCUCGAUGUCGGCUCAUCGCAUCCUGGGGCGGUAGUACGUCCCAAGGGUUGGGCUGUUCGCCCAUGAAAGCGGUACGCGAGCUGGGUUCAGAACGUCGUGAGACAGUUCGGUCCAUAUCCGGUGUAGGCGUUAGAAUAUUGAGAGGAGCCUUCUCUAGUACGAGAGGACCGAGGAGGACAUACCUCUGGUCUACCAGUUAUCGUGCCAACGGUAAACGCUGGGUAGCUAUGUGUGGAGUGGAUAACCGCUGAAAGCAUCUAAGUGGUAAGCCCACCUCAAGAUAAGUAUUCUCAUC